GGCCGGCUGGCCUAAUGGUCAAGGCGUCAGUUUCCGGUAGCCCCAAAAGCUGUGGAUUAGCUGAAGAUUCUGGGUUCGACUCCCAGGUUGGUCG